rnacentral:tRNA from 1 species
GCGCAGGUGAGCAGCGGUGAGCUGGGGUUGACGCCGCACUUCCAAGCUGGUCAUGCGGGUUCGAUUCCCGUCACCCGCU